GCAACCAGGCCACGUUCAGACACACAGCAGGCUACCCAGACAUACUUCUCAGGGUAAACUGACCCCUGCUCUUCACUGCACAAACCUUUGACCCAUUGUGGGGUCAGCUCAGGUUGGUUUUUAAGCCUCAUUUAUCCAUUGUCUGAUGCUAUCUCAUUCACUGCUUUCAGCAGCUUUCAUGUCAGUGUUUUUAUUGCCUCCUCUGAGGCCUGUAGUCUAAUAUCUGCCACAGACAACAACCUUUUCUCCAUGGGGGCUUGAAAUAUCAUUGGCCAUCUCUACAUUGAUUUUGAAAUUUCCUGCAUGCAUUUUCUCUGGAACCUGAUAAAACGAGAGAACAAAGUGGGGAAACUGAAAUGUCUACAUACUGAACCUACAUUUUUUUUCCCCCCACAGUCUCAGCAUGAAGCAGAAAAACGCUCACAGCCACAUUCUCAGACUCACCUUCUUGCUCAUAUAAUUAUGAUGUGGUGUAGACAAUUACAUUACACAGAGCUAAAACUGAUUGACUUCAACGUCAGUGCCACUGGGUAAACAAUUCACAGAGCUUACAGUCAAACUUAUGAUGAUUGACCAUUCAUAGUGAGGUUUAUUCUGUUUUAAUUGCAUGUUUAGAAGAGCUCUGGAUGAGUCAAGUGGUGGCUUGUAGAGGUGAAGUUAGAAAAAAACUUCACGUUUCUUUUGUUUACUUAAUUUGCGAGACGAUCCCAAACUGCCUCUAGUCAUCCAGUAUCUGCGAUGGGAAUAAAUGAUUUCUUUUUAAGAUAUGUGUUUAUAUUUGGUGACUAAUAACACUGAAUUAGCAACAAUUAGACAUGACAGCUGGCAAAUUACUAUGUAAUUUUAAGGAAAAGGAAGAAAACAUUUACAGUGAUUAUGAUUUGAAUGAUACAUGGCAACACUUGUCAGCUCAGCUUUUCUGGCCCAGCUGCAGUAUUUUCUAUUUUAAGGUUCAGCUCUGGAUUUUUGUGUGUCAGUCCUCUUCGUAUUAUGUAUGGAUAACUUUUCUUUAAUGUAAAAUGUAUGAAUGAAAGUUGUAAAGGUUAAGAUACAUUUCAUGAAAGUAUGUUGUGUGAAGUAAAUGGUAUGAACCGUGAUAUAACUGCACAUUUCUUCACACAAAGUGUGUAUGACUUUGUGUCAGAGAUAAGAAAAACACUAAAGCAGUCUUGUGCCAAGAGGAAAUGAGCUAAAGGUCUUGUCAUACUUCUUGUUUAGCCUCUUGUGCUGCUCUGUCUAUCAUCACAGAGAAGCAGUCAGGGUGCCUGCCAACCACCAGCACUACAGCUGCCAAGCUGCCCCAGCUAAAUAUGCUGUCCUCUGUUUUACCCCAAGCAAGGGCUGUGCCCCUGCAUGCUAACACAAUGCUAACACAUUACAAAACCUUGUUGCGAAAAAUACAUGUGCUGUAACACAAACUUGAUCGUGCUUCAAAGCAUUUUCCAUGGAAGAUCUUGUAAAUCUCCCUCUUCCUUCUAAAUUAGAUUUUCUAGAUAACAAGAUUUAACCUCCCAAACACUCAAACUCGCGCUGUCAUACACGUUUUAACAACCAGUGUUGGCUCUAUGGUGCAGAAAGGGACACUGCCGGAAAUUGGAAAGCCUUUGUGGACUUUCUGCUGGGGGGAAGAAUACAGUAGAUCAUUACCUCACUCAGGGGGAGCUGUGAUAUACCACACAACUUGUAGGCAGAAAGGUAACAGGACUGAGCCCUGACAUAAGAAUGCUAUUUCUUGUCUCUCUAAUGAGCUGCAUGCUGUCAGCAUUCACUUAACUUGAGUGAAUGUCAGACAUGUUGUGGCUGAGUAAGUCGUGUUUGGCUGCUCUGGGGAUUUGUGGGGGAUGCAGCUUAUCAUGCCUCGUCUCCAAGUUCUGUACCCUGUUAUCUUAUUUAAAAAAUGGAGUUGUGAUUGAAACAGCGAAAUGGCUUACUUCUACUGAAAGCCAAAAGUAUCAUUUAGGAGUGGCUUUGGCUCAUAACAACACCAUAACAACAAUUUGCCAUCUGAGUCAGUCAAACGAAACUGAAAACCCACCAGCCAACAAUUCGGUAUGUCAGUCAGUCGCUGAACGGUGAGUUACAUAAUGUUUAGCUCUGCACAUAAGAUUGAGCAUUUAACAUAAACAUUCUCUCUGAGAAACCCUCAUUUGUUCUCUGAGAUAUGAUGCCUAUGUAACUCUGAAUAUAUACCUCUGUAGUAUUAGCAGGAGCUGUGUUACUGUUUGAGUCCAAGUAGGAUACAAACUGAUAGGGUAAUUUUUAUAAUAAAUAUCAUAAGCAUAACCACACCCGAUUCAAACUUUAUAUCAUCAAAGUUUUCAGAAAUAUUGAGUGACAAUAUUUAGGAUUUGAAGUACUUGCUCAUACUUAAAGAAGUUUCAAAAAGCUAGCUAUUAUGUACACAAACCCUUAAAUGCAUGGCUUGUUGGGUCAGGUUUCCCUCAAUUUUCCCUCCAUUUUGAGAAAAUAAUCCAAUCUGAUGGGAUUAUUCAUGUCUAUUCGGGGUGUUAAGAUACUUUCACUAGUGCAGUACUUUUAGCUUGGUGCAGAUCCAAGAUCUCUACGAGAGCAUGGACCACAUGCAUAGCCCAACUUGGCUACUGAUAGAUGAACACCAGUUUGAGUACUGGGACUUUCUCAAAAAUAAAGAGUGCAAAGUCCUAUUUUUACCUGUGAUCAGUUGUAUGCUGUAAAUUAAAACAGAGGUCACCUGUGGUUAUUAUCUGUGUGUUAAGUACAGUGAGGAGUGGGAGGAGCAAAGAGAGGGGAGCGUGAACUCAUUAAGUGAGAGUAGAUUAUGUCAUCUCUCUCUCUAAAACAAAAAAUAAAAAAAACUAUCAAGCCUCUUGGGCCUUUAGUUAGUAUCAUAUAGUAUAUCAGGAGCAACUGAUAUGUUCCUGUGAAGCUCUUACAUGCAGACAGCAGAAUAGCAGAAGAGUGAGGAGCUAAAUCUACACCAAAAUGAAGCAAAAACUCAGCAGAGAUAUUUUAAAUUUGGUGACUAUUUUGGCACAAAUAGUUUCCCUUCACUGGUGAAUAGACCUCAGAAAAUUGGUGGCCAAAUGGAAACAGCCCACAUGUAGCCCCUAAUGCCUAUGGUGCGUAUCACCAUGGAAACAUCAACAAAUAUAGAUGUGUGUGCAAAAAUUGGUGCUGAAUUCUCUCCUCUUGGAAAUUUCCAUCAAUCUUCCAGGUAGAAGAAUGUGUUGUUUCUUUAGGUGACCCAGAGCAGAGCAGCUGGAACACACUAGUGAUCUGUACAUGCCUCUAGUAGAACCCUACGGGGCCUCGUGAAGCAUCAACCCAGCGUAUUGUCCCUGGUAAAAUAAAUGGCUCCAUCUCUGCACCAUUUCACUUCUUCCAAGCCUCCUCAUAGGAGGGAAUACACUGAUGCCUCUCUCCCAUAGCUGCUGUAAAGGAUUCAGCUGCAGUAAAAGAUGAUGAGUGUCUGUGGGAAAGAGUCUAAUGCAGUAUGAGUUUACGCAUUUGUAACAUAUCCUCACCCAGCUGCCUGCCAGAUGACUCCUAAUCCACACCUUUCUUGUUAAGAGUACAGGGCAAGAGGAGUUUUACAUGAUGUAAACGUUUCUGAGUUAUUCAGUUUCUUCUUUGAAUUCAGUUCAAUAUAUUAUACAGCAGUACCCACUGUCAGCAUUUGUUUUCUAAACUAGUAUGUGUGGUACUUUCAUAGGUGAGCAGCCUUAAACAAAUCAAAGAGAAAAGGAACUAAAUGAUAUUAAAAAUAAAUUAAAAAGUGUGAAGGUAAUGACUUGUUUUAUGAAUGUGACUCUUAUUCAGUGUUUUAACACAAAGGCUUGUCUAAUAACACCGAGUCAUACUGAAGGAAAAUAAAACAUUAAUAACCACCAUUGUUUGUGUGUCACUUUUUCCAGUAAGCGUAUUGGUCCCUUGAGUCAAGACAGCUCUUCUCACUCAUCCAUGUCCUUGGCUGAGAGUAAAAGGGAGGGACGGCUGCAGUUUUGUUUCCAGCACACGGCUGUUGGAUCUUACGUUUGAAUUAGUUUCAAAUAAAUCCCUUUAGCCACUGGAG
rnacentral:lncRNA from 1 species